rnacentral:lncRNA from 1 species
UUUUUCUCUCUCCUCCCCUCUAGCCGCCGCGGGCAUAUUCCCUUCCCUACCUUUCAUCAAUUUAUUUUCAUUUCUUCCCCGGUCAAGCAUGAAUUCAAGGGAGCUAAGUCAGAAUCUUCAUAGAUUGACAAGAACAAGGCGUCAAAGGUAGUAAAAAUCCUGACUUUUUGUUUCUUAAGCUUGGCAAGAAAUUCUUGAGAUUUAGGAGUUGAUUUUCUUGAAUUU